rnacentral:rRNA from 1 species
AGGAAACAGCUUGCUGUUUCGCUGACGAGUGGCGGACGGGUGAGUAAUGUCUGGGAAACUGCCUGAUGGAGGGGGAUAACUACUGGAAACGGUAGCUAAUACCGCAUAACGUCGCAAGACCAAAGAGGGGGACCUUCGGGCCUCUUGCCAUCGGAUGUGCCCAGAUGGGAUUAGCUAGUAGGUGGGGUAACGGCUCACCUAGGCGACGAUCCCUAGCUGGUCUGAGAGGAUGACCAGCCACACUGGAACUGAGACACGGUCCAGACUCCUACGGGAGGCAGCAGUGGGGAAUAUUGCACAAUGGGCGCAAGCCUGAUGCAGCCAUGCCGCGUGUAUGAAGAAGGCCUUAGGGUUGUAAAGUACUUUCAGCGGGGAGGAAGGGAGUAAAGUUAAUACCUUUGCUCAUUGACGUUACCCGCAGAAGAAGCACCGGCUAACUCCGUGCCAGCAGCCGCGGUAAUACGGAGGGUGCAAGCGUUAAUCGGAAUUACUGGGCGUAAAGCGCACGCAGGCGGUUUGUUAAGUCAGAUGUGAAAUCCCCGGGCUCAACCUGGGAACUGCAUCUGAUACUGGCAAGCUUGAGUCUCGUAGAGGGGGGUAGAAUUCCAGGUGUAGCGGUGAAAUGCGUAGAGAUCUGGAGGAA